AUGAUGUAAUUAUUAGAAAAAUGAAUAGAGCAGCGGUAUGAAAGGUCCGGAGAGGUAAUAGGGGGUAUGAGUAGGAGUGGGAAAGAAAAGGCGAGGCCAGCUUUUACUUUAAAUUGGCGCCACAUUAAUUUAAGGAUGGAGCUUAUCAUAUCAUUGCCUGACAAAAAAAA